UACAUGGGGUGCAAACGUUGCUCGGAAUUAUUGGGCGUAAAGCGCACGUAGGCGGUUUGUUAAGUCGGAUGUGAAAUCCCUCGGCUCAACUGAGGAAGUGCAUCCGAAACUGGCAAGCUUGAGUACGAAAGAGGGUCGCGGAAUUCCCGGUGUAGAGGUGAAAUUCGUAGAUAUCGGGAGGAACACCGGUGGCGAAGGCGGCGACCUGGGUCGAGACUGACGCUGAGGCGCGAAAGCGUGGGGAGCAAACAGG
rnacentral:rRNA from 1 species